rnacentral:rRNA from 1 species
AGAGUUUGAUCCUGGCUCAGGAUGAACGCUAGCGGCAGGCCUAAUACAUGCAAGUCGAGGGAGAUUGUUGGAUUCGUCUGACAUGAAACCGGCGCACGGGUGCGUAACACGUAUGCAACCUACCUUUAACUGGGGUAUAGCUCAGAGAAAUCUGAAUUAAUCCCCCAUAAGACUACGACAUGGCAUCAUGAUGUAGUUAAAGCUCCGGCGGUUAAGGAUGGGCAUGCGGUACAUUAGCUAGUUGGUGAGGUAAUGGCUCACCAAGGCUACGAUGUAUAGGGGGUCUGAGAGGAUGAUCCCCCACACUGGUACUGAGACACGGACCAGACUCCUACGGGAGGCAGCAGUAGGGAAUAUUGGUCAAUGGACGCAAGUCUGAACCAGCCAUGCCGCGUGAAGGAUGAAGGCCCUCUGGGUCGUAAACUUCUUUUAUUAGGGAAGAAAACAUGGGAUGCGUCCCAAACUGACGGUACUUAAUGAAUAAGGAUCGGCUAACUUCGUGCCAGCAGCCGCGGUAAG